rnacentral:rRNA from 1 species
CCUACGGGUGGCUGCAGUGGGGAAUAUUGGACAAUGGGGGCAACCCUGAUCCAGCCAUGCCGCGUGUGUGAAGAAGGCCCUCGGGUUGUAAAGCACUUUCAGUGAGGAAGAACGCCUGGUGGUUAAUACCCAUCAGGAAAGACAUCACUCACAGAAGAAGCACCGGCUAACUCCGUGCCAGCAGCCGCGGUAAUACGGAGGGUGCGAGCGUUAAUCGGAAUUACUGGGCGUAAAGCGCGCGUAGGUGGCUUGAUAAGCCGGUUGUGAAAGCCCCGGGCUCAACCUGGGAACGGCAUCCGGAACUGUCAAGCUAGAGUGCAGGAGAGGAAGGUAGAAUUCCCGGUGUAGCGGUGAAAUGCGUAGAGAUCGGGAGGAAUACCAGUGGCGAAGGCGGCCUUAUGGACUGACACUGACACUGAGGUGCGAAAGCGUGGGUAGCAAACAGGAUUAGAUACCCGUGUAGUC